rnacentral:misc_RNA from 1 species
GUUAUGACGGAGAACACAAUGAGACGAGCGAAGCGGUGGGAGCUCGCCAAUCGUGGCGGCGGUACUGUCUGCGACGUUCGCGGCUUCACUGUACAACCCGCGUCGUUUUGACAGAAGCUCGGGAGUUGUGUUACGGUGUACAUAGCAAUCGAAGCUGCGAAGAAUCGAUUUACCUCCGUGCAAGUGUCUUUUAUUUUGGUUGCAGCUACACGUGUCCUCUUAAAAAAAGAAGAGACCUCGCUUCCGUUGACGCGGCAGACAAUAAUUAGGUGAGAGAGAGAGAGUGCGCGAGCUGCCACGACUCCUUGUACAGUCGACUGCGGCGUGCGGGGUUAUCUUCGCGGCUUUGCACAACGACCCCGGUGUCGUUGACAGAGGCUUCAGGAGGUUGUAUUACAAAGUGGCCAUUCGACGUAGGGCUGCAGAGGAUCGCUUGCUGUCAUCCCGCCGCCUCUCAGAUUUACGUGCGCCACUUCGAAGACCCUGGAUAUCCUGUUUUUACGGCAGUGAAAGGCAACUUGAGUCGAAAGAAGAUACGCCAGCUCUAUGCCAGACAUCGUGUGAACUGCGCCAUGCAUACAUCGUAGGAGCUUUGCGUUUGAGGCAAAGUGUGGAAAGAUAGUUGUGCUUCUACGGCGUGACAGUUUGUGAUUUCGAGGUUGGAGACCUGUCCCUACUAUUACGCGCACUUGAUGCCUUUGAGCUAAACUGUGGAAAGAAGUUACUUGUGGUGCUUUUACGAUGUGAUAGCUUGUGGCUUCAUGUUUGGAGACCUUCCUCUUCAAUUACGCGAUGUGGUUGUGUGUACCGUGCCUUUAACGGGUGGCACUUCCGCGGUGGCUUUGCGGACGGUGACAUUGUUCCGUGUUGAUUGAAGCUUGUGGCCUUGUGUUCUGCCGUUGCAAUCGACUCUGAGUCGACCGGCACACCGCUUCCGUUCGACGCCUGCUGUGUUUAACGGUUUCGCUGUCGAUAGCCACGAUAGUGACAUCGCUGGUGUGAGGAGCGAACUGAGCCAACAGCCGACUUCUUGCGCCUCGUUUGUUUCUCAUGGCAGCUUAUCGUGGGCCAGUUGUUGAAGUUGAGAAGGGUUUUCCGUCGUGUUUAGAGUAGCUAGCUGUGUUCAUUUAGAAAUUGUGACGGCAUCUUCGUUCCAUUACCUCAACGAUCACUUGACAUUCAGGGCACAGGCCUGCUUCAUUGAUCAUUGAUUCCGAGGAAACAUCUCGGAUACCGCGCCGGCGAAUUCGGCAAGCACAGAAGGAGUACAACUGUUGGGCGAUUGCUGUGUUUCUGGUGUCUGCGUCUCAAAAAUUUAUUGGGCACAUUACGGAGGAUCCACUACACUGAGCGAUGUUCCAAAGAAAAGAAAGUGGUCGGGUCACUCUUUGGAAGCGGUAAGGGGCCAUUUAAUAAUUUGUGAAUCAAGUAUUGACGUUGACUGCAUGUCUGCAGCUUCAUUGUGUCAGUGGCCUGCUCGGCGAUCGGAGAAGAAGGGACUGUAACCGGAAACUUCAAGAUUUCUUGCCGUGGCCCUACAAGUGAUUUCCCGAAGAAAAAAUGCCGACGACACCUGCACACACGUUUGAAAUGGUACCCCUAGAGGACACUGGAAUCGUCCCCGAAGAGGUGGUUGCCACGGUGGGAACCGACGGUGGCGACGGCUGGUGGCAGCGGACGAAUCGAUGCUUCGCUCAGCGGUGGAAGAAAAAGGACGUCCGGUUCACUUCGCGGUCGGCCAUGCUGCAGCUGCCAAUGACCACGGCGGCGCUCUUGGCGAACCUGGUGGGCGUCGGCAUCGUGGCGAUGCCCUAUGCCUUUGCCGGAAUAGGAUGGGCCGCCAUCCUUGUGGUGCCCUUGUUGGCAGCGCUGGCAGUGUUCAACGCUUGCUUGCUCAAUAGCUGCUGCGUCAUGCUGGAAGAGCGCAGCAAGGAAUACCGCAAGUUCCACUGGUACACCCAGUAUUCCGACAUCGCCUCCAAGGCACUGGGCCCAGGCGUAGGGCGGAUCGUGAGCGGCUUGCGGCUUCUUUCGGUGGUGGGCCUGCAGGCAGUGAUCAUAGUCCUGACAGCCGAGGCCAUCACGGACUUCGUGCUGGCUUUUAUGCCUACCCCUUGGACUCAUGGUUUAAUGUACUGCACACUUGUCGUCGGCAUUGGCGUGUUCAGUGCAGCGGUGAAGGGACCGUGCGCUGACGUUGCCCGAUACUGGUGCAGCGUGGUCAGCUUGCCAUUGUCGCUGACGCUUCUGUCGCUGCUGCUGACCGGUCUUGCCGACAGCUUCGGGUCGGUGCAGACGCCACGGGUACCCGGGUCGUGGAAUGAGCUGCGCCAAAUCCUGAGCCAAGCCGCACACAAACAAGGCGGCACGGGUCACUCGCCCAUGGACAGGAGCGCGUUCGCUGCCCCGCCGGCCGUGCCUUUCUUCGUAGGUCUCGGUGUCAUCGCGUUCAACUACGCAAGCGUCUCGGGGUUCACGAACGUGAGGCGGGACUCGGCGACGCCAUCGCACUUCAAGCGAGCAACUGGCUAUAGCGUCGCUGGGUACACCUCUGCCUGCCUCCUGGUCGGCGUGAUGGGCUACGCGGCGUUCGGGAGGCUCGUAAGCGGAAACGUCAUCAUGUCGCUGAACUCCGAGAGGACCCGAACGGCCGCCAACUUCUUCCUCACCAUGAGCGUCUUGCCGACGGGCAACAUCGUCGCCUUCACCCUGGACUGAGUACGACGGCAUCGAGGACUACGGGAAACGGACCGUGUGGAGCCGCGCCAAGAUGGCGUCUCCACUGAUGGUGUGCGCCUGCGUGCUUGCGCUGGCCGUGCCUCACGAAGGACCCCUGGUGGCACUCGUCGGCUCUCUGUUCGCGUGCCCCGUCGCUUUCGUGCUGCCGCCCAUUUUCUACGCCGUCCUCUGCAAAGGGUCGCCACAGUGGCCCGAGAGGCCCCUGAGUAGAAACAUGAAGAUGGCCCUGCUGGUGGCCCUAGCCACCGGCCUGGUGGUUCACAUCGGGGGCACCGUGACGGCCAUCAUGCAGAUAGUACACGAAGCCCAGCUGGACCAGCAGUCCUGCUUCAGGGGCUUCUGCUACGAGGGACAGUACGCGAUGACGCAACCUCCGGCCAUCUACAAGCAGUACCUCGGGCCCCUUCUCCCCGAGAUGAACCUACCGCGCAGCGUCGGAAAGUGUUCCCAGGAGGGCUAGACUAAAGAACCCCGAGCGAGGAACAUGGCCAGAAACCUGAACACCGAUCAUUUCUCUUCUCGCACUAUGCGCAUAAUCACCCACUUCUAUGGGGGACGCGUCUUUAGUAUUCAAGCCUGUGUAACUGGAGUAUUUCUACACUAUAUGAUUAAAUGUGUGUCUUACAGGGUAAAAAAACGACCACGGUACCUCAAAUCGUGCCUACCACCAAAUAGAGAUUGCCCUCAAUGUCCUAAUAACAUUAUUAUGAGACUGACGAAGUUUACCUAAGCUUUACUGUCUUACAUUCGUUGAUUAUUUUAUAUAUUCUGAUUAUUUUUUUUUGCAGGUGGCAGCUUGUCUUUCGUGCGUCAUUUAAAUUGCAAUUUUUCGUUCGCGUGCCUGUCAGUAUUUAGUGGGGUCUCAUCUAUUUCUUACGCUAUGGCAUAACUCAGCAACCUCAAUAUUGUUUCGCUUGCUUUUUUUUUGCUGAAAGCGAUUUUAUUUUUAAUUGUAUACGUCCAGUUCGAGAUUUUUUAGUAGUCCUUAUGUAAGUGACUGUCUUGGAACGCUAGAAGAUCGUUUUCCUUGGUGUCUUUUCUAGGCUAUGGAAAAAAUCUUACAUUUACUUUUUGUGCAGCUUUUUUUUCUUCUUUUUUUAGUUACAAUCAACCUCCCCACGUGUGAUAGCAAAACUGAAGAAUAGCUGUAAGGACUCACUUCACAUAUCGUCAUCAUUCAUUCAUUAAGCAAUUUAUCAUUGUGGAGAUAUUGGCGACACAAUGUACUUGUGCCAACAUUUCCAAUAGCAUAAUGCAUCAUAAACCAAUAAAUAAACCACCCAUCAAUCAAGUCACUCCACAGCGUCAUUAUUUAGCCACUAGCUUUGUAGAGAUGACGUUUGGGCGAGUUGAUCAAUAUUUGCAUUAGAGGAAACAGGGAAACUGUGCACAGUACGACGAAACAAAACGCAUGCGCACCUGCGACUCUAAUUCUUUACCAAACUUUACUCAAGAGUGUAAAACCAUAAGUGUACAGCUAUGUACGCACAAACGUGUACAUGCGCAGGACUGCAAUUGCUGACCUGCGCAGAUGAUAAGUGACACAUACCGCUCGUUUCUGAGAGUAUACUGUCUCGUGAUGUCAAACCAUUGAACGGCAUAUUUUGAGUCCGGUUUCCUCAAAAAUGAUGCUAGGUGAGUACGACUCAGAUACCAAGAACCACUCGCACUCGUAUUCGAAACUCCUUAACCACGAGAAUAGAUUUAAAUACCCUUAUUUACCAUUAUUACUACGUUCAUUUAAUUAACGUCCUUUGAAUUUUUGGUUCAAGCCGUUAGAUUUGAAAUUAUCCUUAACUGCGCGCUGUAACCGGACUUAAGCGUGACCGCCGUUACAGACGCCGAGACACGUUUGUCGGGACGCAAAUCGAGGUGACAAUAAAAAGGUGGGCCUUUUUUUGUUCUGGCGAACCAGUGUUGCGAAAAUUCGCUACAAGGAGUCAAUUUCACGACAGGGGAAAAUUGUCAUUCAUACGAUUUUAGCACGAAGCCGAAUAGGAAAUUCCUCCGGGUUUAUCGGAAAUUAUGCUUCGCAGUUGUAGAAGGAAUUCAGCCUGGUCCGGGAAUCAAACUGAGGAAUCAGUGUGUUUGCAGGGCGGUCGCUCUAUUGUUCGAGCUAAUCAGGAGGCUUGCAACGGUUCUGCUACCGCAACUGAAACGCAUUUUUACAAGUUUCCAGUUUGAGCUCUUCUCGGUGGUUGCAGUUUACGGGUUCACUGAGAUUUUUACGGUAUAUGCGGUGUUCCAACAAGCUGCUGCAUGUACAUUCGGAGUUGCUUAAUUUCUGAGUGCUUGCGUUUGCAAAAUGCAUGCGUUUGUAUUUCAGAAGUUGUGGAAUACAUGCUAUGUUCUAUUACUCAGCAUGCAUACUCACAUUUAUUUAUUUUUUACUCGUGUUUAAAGGACGUGCACUUAAUGUUUAAUUGACUAUUGUGCUCUACGCUGUUUUUUUAUGUAAGUUUGACGACCUCCUCGACCACACUGUCAUUUUGGCCAGUGUAUUCUUCACAUCUUUUCUUUCAUCCAGUCAUAGUCAUUUCCCACUCAAAUAUUUUACAAGGAGCAUGAAUCGGCUUCGC